rnacentral:rRNA from 1 species
UACGUAGGGGGCAAGCGUUGUCCGGAUUUAUUGGGCGUAAAGAGCUCGUAGGCGGUUUGGUAAGUCUGGUGUGAAAUCUCCACGCUCAACGUGGAGGGGCCACCCGAUACUGCCAUGACUGGAGUCCGGUAGAGGAGUGUGGAAUUCCCGGUGUAGCGGUGAAAUGCGCAGAUAUCGGGAGGAACACCUGUGGCGAAGGCGGCUCACUGGACCAGAACUGACGCUGAGGCGCGAAAGCGAGGGGAGCAAACAGG